CAGUCGCCACGGUAAUACGAAGGGUGCAAGCGUUACUCGGAAUUACUGGGCGUAAAGCGUGCGUAGGUGGUGGUUUAAGUCCGUUGUGAAAGCCCUGGGCUCAACCUGGGAAUUGCAGUGGAUACUGGGUCACUAGAGUGUGGUAGAGGAUAGUGGAAUUUCCGGUGUAGCAGUGAAAUGCGUAGAGAUCGGAGGGAACAUCUGUGGCGAAGGCGACUAUCUGGGCCAACACUGACACUGAGGCACGAAAGCGUGGGGAGCAAACAGGAUUAGAUACCCCAGUAGUCCCUGUCUCUUAUAC
rnacentral:rRNA from 1 species